GUGAUGGGAGCUAUGAGCAGUGCAGCCAUGUUGGAUUCAAGGGAUGCUGGGAUCUAUUCUCUCAUCACCUCUAUACCGUCCACGUUUUUGCCCUCAGGUCCUGUGCAGGUAUCUGCAAAUGAAGAUGCUGAUUCAGAGAAUCCAGGGGUCUACAGCCUGAUCACUUCUGUACCAUCCACAUCUGUACCACCAGUCUGAUACGUACCACGUAUACAGCUCAAUCCCCGACAGACCAGCAACCUCAGCCCAGCCAGAUGGGUUGUACAGUCUUCUGCAGACACACUGAAACUACACCACUGGCUCUCUGUAUGUCUCACAGAAAUACUCUUUCUUUCAGGAUGUCCUUUAUUUAUCACACAUCAUGUUACUGUAAAUAAGUAUCUAAUACAUCUACCGCAGUGCCGUUUCUAUCUAUAAGCAACA